rnacentral:rRNA from 1 species
GUCGAACGAUGAAGCCCUUCGGGGUGGAUUAGUGGCGAACGGGUGAGUAACACGUGGGCAAUCUGCCCUUCACUCUGGGACAAGCCCUGGAAACGGGGUCUAAUACCGGAUAACACUCUGUCCCGCAUGGGACGGGGUUGAAAGCUCCGGCGGUGAAGGAUGAGCCCGCGGCCUAUCAGCUUGUUGGUGGGGUAAUGGCCUACCAAGGCGACGACGGGUAGCCGGCCUGAGAGGGCGACCGGCCACACUGGGACUGAGACACGGCCCAGACUCCUACGGGAGGCAGCAGUGGGGAAUAUUGCACAAUGGGCGAAAGCCUGAUGCAGCGACGCCGCGUGAGGGAUGACGGCCUUCGGGUUGUAAACCUCUUUCAGCAGGGAAGAAGCGAAAGUGACGGUACCUGCAGAAGAAGCGCCGGCUAACUACGUGCCAGCAGCCGCGGUAAUACGUAGGGCGCAAGCGUUGUCCGGAAUUAUUGGGCGUAAAGAGCUCGUAGGCGGCUUGUCACGUCGGAUGUGAAAGCCCGGGGCUUAACCCCGGGUCUGCAUUCGAUACGGGCUAGCUAGAGUGUGGUAGGGGAGAUCGGAAUUCCUGGUGUAGCGGUGAAAUGCGCAGAUAUCAGGAGGAACACCGGUGGCGAAGGCGGAUCUCUGGGCCAUUACUGACGCUGAGGAGCGAAAGCGUGGGGAGCGAACAGGAUUAGAUACCCUGGUAGUCCACGCCGUAAACGUUGGGAACUAGGUGUUGGCGACAUUCCACGUCGUCGGUGCCGCAGCUAACGCAUUAAAGUUCCCCGCCUGGGGAGUACGGCCGCAAGGCUAAAACUCAAGGAAUUGACGGGGGCCCGCACAAGCAGCGGAGCAUGUGGCUUAAUUCGACGCAACGCGAAGAACCUUACCAAGGCUUGACAUAUACCGGGAAAGCAUCAGAGAUGGUGCCCCCUUGUGGUCGGUAUACAGUGUGCAUGGCUGUCGUCAGCUCGUGUCGUGGAGAUGUGGGUUAAGUCCCGCAACGAGCGCAACCCUUGUUCUGUGUUGCCAGCAUGCCCUUCGGGGUGAUGGGGACUCACAGGAGACUGCCGGGGUCAACUCGGAGGAAGGUGGGGACGACGUCAAGUCAUCAUGCCCCUUAUGUCUUGGGCUGCACACGUGCUACAAUGGCCGGUACAAUGAGCUGCGAUGCCGCGAGGCGGAGCGAAUCUCAAAAAGCCGGUCUCAGUUCGGAUUGGGGUCUGCAACUCGACCCCAUGAAGUCGGAGUUGCUAGUAAUCGCAGAUCAGCAUUGCUGCGGUGAAUACGUUCCCGGGCCUUGUACACACCGCCCGUCACGUCACGAAAGUCGGUAACACCCGAAGCCGGUGGCCCAACCCCUUGUGGGAGGGAGCUGUCGAAGGUGGGACUGGCGAUUGGGACGAAGUCGUAACAAGGUA